rnacentral:rRNA from 1 species
AACGAACGCUGGCGGCGUGGAUUAGGCAUGCAAGUCGAACGCGAAAGAGGGAGCAAUCCCUCAAGUAGAGUGGCGAACGGGUGAGUAACGCGUGAAGAACCUGCCUUCAACAGGGGGAUAACACUCCCAACGGGGUGCUAAUACCGCAUGAGACCACGGGUCCGCAUGGACCUGAGGUCAAAGGUGGCCUCUGCUUGCAAGCUACCGGUUGAAGAUGGCUUCGCGUCCCAUAGCUAGUUGGCGGUGUAAAAGACCACCAAGGCGACGAUGGGUAGCUGGUCUGAGAGGAUGGUCAGCCACACUGGGACUGAGAUACGGCCCAGACUCCUACGGGAGGCAGCAGUCGAGAGGCUUUGGCAAUGGGGAAACCCUGACCAAGCGACGCCGCGUGGAGGAUGAAGGCCCUUGGGUUGUAAACUCCUUUUGUCGGGGAAGAAAUGCGAUCAGGUAAACAAUCUGGUCGUUUGACGGUACCCGGCGAAUAAGCUCCGGCUAACUCCGUGCCAGCCGCCGC